GGAGCGCAGGGGACCUGCCCCACGUACCAACAGAAGCUUUGAAGAGCUAUUGUGUAUUUCCACUCUCUCUCUUCCCUAUAUCACGAGAUUGGAGUAUUCUAGAUGGAGGCUGCUCCCACUAGCUUGGUCCCAUAACGAAAAGGACAUGGAGCAGAAUUUCAGCCACUCUGUGAAGAUCAAGUCAGGCGAGGGAGAAGUAAACUUUGUUGUAAGCCACUAAAAUUUGGGGGAUCAUUUGUUACUGCAGCAAAUGAUUUCCCCUAAACUGGCAGAGUCAAGCAAUGAUGCCAUUGUAUUGGAAAUAUCUGUCAAGUGUCAGGAGGCUCCUUGAGCAGACUGAGGCAUUUCACCAGAUUGUGCCCCGAAAAACCUGAUCUGAAGCUGUCGGAGGACAGGUCACUUGUCACCUGCUAUAUCAUAAAGUCCUCGCAGUCAUCAGGAACUUUUCCUUCCUGCCACCUGCUUCCUCCUAAACCACAACCCAAAUGACUCUGCUGCUUCCAGGGGCAAUAGAGUUCCAGAGACUUCGUUGGAAAUUUUGGCUCAUGACGGUGUUUCUCUGAGGAAACAGAAACAAAUGCAAAGGGCAGUUCCAUGAAGGGGGAUUCCGUGACACAUUUCUACCGAAUCUUUUCAAGGGUCUUAGUUCUUAGAAACGUGGAGAAGUCCCAACAUGCAUGCUGGGUGCCUGGCGCCAUGGGGACAGGAAGAAGACAACCGAGUACAUUUCCUGUGCUCCAGACCCUGUUCUCAGCACCUUUCACGUAUUCACAACGCUCCUCCUCACAACCUAGGAGACAGGCUCUGUUAGGCUCGGCCCCACUUUGCUGAUGAGGAAACUGAGGUGCACGGGCAUCACAGAGCUUGCCCCAGCGGCAGUUUUGUCGGGUGGCUGCAAAGGGGGCGAAGCUGGGUUUCACGUGAUACCAACACUUCGGCUACACGGAACGAAACUUGGAGUCCCCUAGGCGCUCGGUUCUCUAGGUCUCUAACUGGAACUCUUAAAAACCCUAGAUAAGUAUCAUCACCUCCUAUUCUACAGAUGAGAAAACCGCGACUCACAACAAUUCAGUGACUUCGCAGUGUCACAGAGCUAGCAAGCCAGGAUUUGAAUGCUGAGCUGGAAGUCUACCUUUUAAGGCGGCUCAGCAAGAGCAAGAUAUUCCUUUCCUAAGGCUUUCCAGCUUUUCAUGGCAGGAAGUGGUAAUGAGCCUGUGUGGUGAGCAUGAGGACUGCCCUGGGUCCCCACAGAUGGCCGCCUUCUGGCUCCAGAGCCUUGGCCAGCAACACUCCCAUCUUUGUGCUCAUGACCUAGUUUGGCUCACCCAGUUUAGCUCUAUGGCCUAUUUCUUCCCGAAGAAUUAUUUCAUAACAUUUGCCAAGUAACUAUGACAGGCUGAGCACAUGGCAUUCGUGAACUUGGAGAUGAAACCAACCCAACGUUCCUUCAUAUGUGUGGACCGAUAUUUGCCAUCCGGGUAGAAAGACCAGGAAGGGUUUUUUGGGGUUUUUUUGUUUGUUUGUUUUUUCUUUUUACCAGAAGGGAAAUUAAGAAGAGUCUCAAACCUGCCCUUUCAGGUUGGUUUCCUUUUUACAACAGCUGCCCUAAAUCACAGGCAGUUGGGGCCUGGAUUGCUCGACCAGGGCAUACAGAAAUUUCUACAGCCUAUUAGGAUAAAGUCUUUCUUGAUCCUGCUUUUAGCAAUGGAUCUUAACUACCUCACGCUGGUUCCCUAUUGCCAAUAAAAUCCACUGUCCACGUAGGGUCCGGGGGCUGAAAUAAAGGAGCGUGAGUUAAAUGUUGGUAAGAGACUUAGAAGUGUUAAUUAGGCAACGUAAUUCUAUACUUUUGAAAGGGCUGAGCCAUAAAAUGCUGUGAUUAAGGGGCUGUCUAUACAAGUAAAUGGAUAUAAUUACGUGUAAAAGCUCUCUUUCUCCCCCUUUGUGCUCCUCAAGCCCAAACCUGCUAGUUCUAAUGUUUCCUUCCUUCCUUUUUUUUUUUUUUUCUUUCUUCAUCAACAUUCCCUGGGGACUUGGCUGGUUUUUCUUCCCCUUAGCCACAGGCCUCCUACUCUGUCUACUGUUUGGGGGUUACUUAUCAUCAACUCCACCUGAUGGCCCCAUUCUCCAGAAACAAAUUCAUGAGGCUUAAGAGUUUCACAGAACAUGGGGUUACAAAAAGAACAAAUAUAGGGAAAUUAAAAAGUCUACACAUUUCAGGGUGCCUGGGUGGCUCAAUGGGUUAAGCAUCCAACUCUUGGUUUUGGCUCAGGUCAUGAUCUCUCACUUCGUGGGUUUGAGCCCUCUGUCAGCACAGAGCCUCCUUGGGAUUCUCUCUCUCCCCCUCUCUCUGCUCCUCCCCUGCUCGCUAUCUCUGUCUCUCCAAAUAAAUAAAGUUAAUUUUUUUUUUUUAAAGCCUACAAAUUUCUUACAGACAUGGCCUUUUGUUUUUAGCUCCUAGCUUCCUCUCUGGGUACUUCCCACUGGGUACUAUAGGACUCAACCCUGAUGAGGGUGCUAACCCACUGUUAACUCUCCUGACCUGACUCCCACCCUGGACCAUCUUUUCAACAUACAAAACAGAACGUCUUCCCAUACUAAUGAGAGUACCUCCAGGCUCUUUACCUGGGCCUCCCUGGCCUCCGUGUUCUGUGCUCUGCUUCCCGAGCCUCACCUCUACCACUUUCCCAUUCAUCCUGUGCUCCAGCCCAGUCUAGUCCUCUUGCUGUGCUUUGAACAGCUCCAAGUCUUUCCACCUCAGGGGCUUUGCACUGACUAGCCCUUUUCCCUAGAACACCCUAACUACAAGCUGGCUCCUUCUCAUCUUGUGGGUCUCAGCUGAAAUGUCACCUCUUCAGAGAGGCCUUCCUGGAUUAAUUUAUCUAAAGGAGGCCUCCCUCAUUCCAGCCAUUCCAUUCUUUAUCAUAUUUCCCUCUUCUAUUUUCUUCAAAGCACUUAACCGCUACCAGAAAUUAUCUUGCUUAUUCAUGUGUUUGUCUCUUGAGUGUCCACAUCCACCACUAAGCUGGAAACUCCAUAUGAAGGCAAAGACCAUGUCUGUCACACUCACUGUUGUCUCCCCAGAAGCAAAUCGUGCACAUGGGGGCCCUAAAGGAGUAUAUUGUCUUAUUUCACCCGCCACCAUCUGGUUAACCGGAGUCACCCUUCAUUUCAUGUCCGAGAAGCCAUUGUUGACUAUGACCUUUACAUCACACGCUGGGUUACCUGGACUGCGGUCAUUCAUUUACUAAGCAUCCAUGUUAGAAGGCCAUGUGCCAGAGGCUAUGUUAGGCAAUAAUUUCACCAAGUCAAAGGAGCGGUAGGUCCUGCCUUCAAAAAGUUUCUAAUCUAACGGAAAGGCAGACAAGUAAGUUAGUGAGGGCGAUCCCUGCAGGAUGAUCUGGUAGGAGAAUACCGAGUGCCAAAAGAUAGACAAGAGGGGCAUCUCAAUCAGACUAGAGGGUUCUGGCCAGGCUUCUAAGAAACGAUUCUUGAGCUAAGUUUCUUCAUGUAAGAGCUAGAAAGAGAACAGCAGUAUAUUUUGGGGUGAGCGAGUCCCAUGGGCUAGAAAACCAUGGUGAAGACACCAUGUGUUGCUGGGCUGACCUAAGCAGGCAGUGGGCUCUGGGGAAGGUGUGCUAGGCAGGGAGUCUGGGGAACUUGUUUCUGCCUAGUCUGUUUCUAACGAGCCGUGUGACUGUGAGUGGGUCCCCUCCCCUCUGAGUUUCAGAUUCUCUCUCUGGCUGGCAUUUAGCGAAAACUGAACUUGUCUGAACAUUCUAGACCUUCUAUUCAUUCCGUAAGUAUUCAGUCUCUAUAGUCACUGUCCCCUAACACCAAUUUACUGGGGGCUCACUUUAUGCCCAGCAGAGCACUAAGUGUUCUAAAAAAUAAAAUUAAUGGCAAAUGCAGUCUUUGCUCUGGAAUGCAGUCACAAUUUGGAGAGGGAGAAAAUAAACCAUAAUAAAAUUAGGAAAACGAAGCAGUUUAACGCAUCUUACAUCUUUUGCUAAUUGUUCCCGUGUACUGGUCUUAUUGUGCCAUUUACAUGCCCUGUGUUCUAAUUCUAUUUGAUCCAGUCUCCCACUUUCUAGCUAUAAAACAGUGGCCUAGUUCUUUUACUUUUCUAAGCUUCUAUUUCAAGAUCUGUAAAGUGAGGAAAGUACCAAACUUACAGGGUUGUUGUGAGGAACGAAUGGGUUAGAAUAUGCGAGGCAUUUAGCAUAGGGCCUCACACACAGUCUGACCUCGAUAAUAAUUGCAUCUUCCAUGCUGCUGGACAUUGGAAUGCGCAACGAUAGAGAUGAAAUGUUAAGAACAAGGUUGAAGAGUGAUCCAUGAAGACUGAGACUAUGCACCUCCUGGAAGACCCUUGAGUGAGUUUUUUAAGGAAGUGAGUUGACUGAAUUGUUGGUGGAGAAUCAGCAGGAACACAGGUAGAAGGCUCUUGUAAUGGUCAAGGAGAAGGUGAGGUCAGGACUGGAAUGGAAUGGAAGGAGACACUGUGGAGAAUCAAUAGGCUCUUGAUGAUGCUCCUAGUUAAGGGCUUUGGUAUUUUCUCUGAAGGAUCAGGCCACCAGCAUUUUUUUGUCCCUCCCAAAUACCUGUUGCACAGGCUACAUUCCAAGUGCGUGAAGCAGAGGUCUGGGGCUGCCUGCUUCCAUCUAGCUCCACUCAUAAGAUAGAGGAUUAUGUACAUCCUACAUGCUAACUUGCCUGUGAUCUUCAAGGGUGUCAAGUUCGUGGACGUCAAAGGUAGAACUGUUCCAAGCUAAAGGAGACUAGAGGGCCUCGAUAACUAAAUGCAGCGUGUGGUUCUGAACCGGAUUCUUCUGUGGGAAUCACUGACAAAGCUUGAGUGAGUUCUGAGGAUUAGAUAGUCUUAACUAUCAAUGUCAAUUUCCUGACUUUAAUGCUUAUAUUCGGGGUAUGCAGAAUAAUUCCUGAAAGCCAUGCUGAUGAAGAUAAGCAAUUGUGGUAGCUUGUCUCCAACGUGACCAACCACCAAGUAUUUCUUCUCCCCUGUGUACACAGCCAGAAGUACGGUCUGUUCCUGUGCUCCCUGGAAUGUGGCCGAACUUAUGACUGCUCUAAGCAACAGAAUGCUACUGAAGUCAUGCUAUGUGACUUCUGAGGCUAGGUCCUAAGAGGCCUUAUAGCUUCUGCCAGUGUCUCUUAGAAGCCAACCUCUACCUAAGAAGUCUAAGUGCCUGGAAACCACCGUGCCUGAGGAAGCCCAAGCCAAUUCUAGUGAGAAUUGCCCCACUGAGCAUAUCAGGCCCAGAACUCUGAAAAUACAAUAAUAAAUUGUGUUAACCACUA